GACGAACGCUGGCGGCGUGCCUAAUACAUGCAAGUAGAACGCUGAAGAGAGGAGCUUGCUCUUCUUGGCUGAGUUGCGAACGGGUGAGUAACGCGUAGGUAACCUGCCUUGUAGCGGGGGAUAACUAUUGGAAACGAUAGCUAAUACCGCAUAACAAUGGAUGACACAUGUCAUUUAUUUGAAAGGGGCAAUUGCUCCACUACAAGAUGGACCUGCGUUGUAUUAGCUAGUAGGUGAGGUAAUGGCUCACCUAGGCGACGAUACAUAGCCGACCUGAGAGGGUGAUCGGCCACACUGGGACUGAGACACGGCCCAGACUCCUACGGGAGGCAGCAGUAGGGAAUCUUCGGCAAUGGGGGCAACCCUGACCGAGCAACGCCGCGUGAGUGAAGAAGGGUUUCGGAUCGUAAAGCUCUGUUGUAAGUCAAGAACGGGUGUGAGAGUGGAAAGUUCACACUGUGACGGUAGCUUACCAGAAAGGGACGGCUAACUACGUG
rnacentral:rRNA from 1 species